AGUGGAUGUUAGUGACAAUUAGUCACUAUAAGAGUAGGAUAUACAUCUAGAUAAAAUCUAUCGACUUUGAUAAAAAGUAGUCCUAUAGGAUUUGAGAGGCUAAGUCCGAGAGUCUGUGGCCACAACAGUGUAAUUGAUGGAAAAAAAUUUUUAUGAAGAUCACAAUUGGACUUGAGCUGAUUGAAUCUAUCAUAUGACUGAUGAUGAGAUUUGACGAUUUAUCCAUGACCUGCCAUCUGUCGGAACUCAUGAUAAAAAGACUGAAUCACAUGUUAACUAUACCUUAAAAUUCUUUCGGUUCUACCAUAUUGCCACUACAUACUGCUAGGAAUCACUGGUGGAUUGUGAAAGCUCACUAGGAUUGCUCAGGAUCGACAAUCCUUGAUGAGUUAGAGUAAAAUUAUUCUGACCCAUUGAAAAAUAUUUCAAUGAUACUGUGAUAGAGAUCAUUGUAUAUCUUACUAUCAGAUAGAAUUGAACCUAUAGGGUCACAUAAUAAAGGAAUUAGAUCUG
rnacentral:lncRNA from 1 species